GCAAACCCCGGGCCGCUGGCGGAGAGGAGACGGAGCCUAGCCGGUUGCAGGUGGAUCCAAUUCCCCGCCAGGGCUCUGCCCCGGGGAAGAGAACGAGGCUAGAGGACAAGACGGGUGUCCUCUGACGGAAAGAGACCAGGCUGAGGUUCCUCCCGUCUGACUGGGGUGUCUGAUGUCUCCCGCGUCAGGCAGACAGAGGAUCGCCCGGGCUACCACAUCCUCCCAGUCACCUUGACCAUCAGCCUCAUGUCAGAACUUGUCAGCGGCCCCCACAAAAUAAGACCAACAGCCUGCCCGAGGUGUCGUUUCUUUGGGGCUCUAUGCUGCUGUCUGGGAAUAUUUCUACCACUUUGGAGCUGGGCAAGCUGCGCAAGCUCCCUGUGCCUCAGCUUCCUCAUCCGUAAAAUGGAGACACCACCUCCAGGCAGGACUGUAUUCACUCGACACGCAUGUCUCAGGCGUGCACUGCGUCCCGGAGAGUGGGGUACAGAAGGGGGUGAGGAAACUGAGGCACGUGAGAUGAAGUAACUCGCUCAGAGGCUAGUG